UUAUUUGUUUAGGACAUAUCAUUAUCUAGUUGUGAUACACUCACACCUAACUGCUUAGAAUCAUCUGUUAUCGUAAACUUGAUCAUAUCAUUGACAUUCAUAAAACAUAUUUUGAAGAAAAAAAAUCAUAGAAUUAUGAU
rfam:Populus trichocarpa isolate Nisqually-1 chromosome 2, whole genome shotgun sequence.